rnacentral:rRNA from 1 species
UACAGAGACUGCAAGCGUUAUUCGGAUUCACUGGGCGUAAAGGGUGCGCAGGCGGCCGAGUGUGUGAGGCGUGAAAGCCCGGGGCUUAACCCCGGAAUUGCACCUCAAACUACACGGCUAGAGCAUUGGAGAGGGUAGCAGAAUUCAUGGUGUAGCGGUGAAAUGCGCAGAUAUCAGGAGGAACACCAGCGGCGAAGGCGGCGCUCUGGGCUGGAACUGACGCUGAGGAGCGAAAGCGUGGGGAGCGAACAGG